GGGCCCGUAGCUUAGAAUGGAUAGAGCGCUGGCCUCCGGAGCCAGAGGUCGUGGGUUCAAGUCCCACCGGGCCCG
rnacentral:tRNA from 1 species